rnacentral:lncRNA from 1 species
AUUUAAAGCAUUUUGUUAACGUAAAAGUGAGUCAAGAAAGGGUUACAAGGCCGGGUGUGGUGGCUCAUGCCUGUAAUCCCAGUACUUUGGGAGGCCGAGGCGGUCGGAUCGUGGGGUCAGGAGGUCGAGACCAGCCUGAUCAACAUGGUGAAACCCCAUAUCUACUAAAAAUACAAUACAAACAUUAGCUGAGUGUGGUGGUGGGCGCCUGUAAUCCCAGCUACUUGGGAGGCUGAGGCAGAGGUUGCAGUGAGCCGAGAUCAUGCCAUUGCACUCCAGCCUGGGUGACAGAGCGAGACUCCAUCUAAAAAAAAAAAAAAAAAAAAAAAAGGUCUGGUGCGGUGGCUCACGCCUGUAAUCCCAGCACUUCGGGAGGCCGAGGCAAGCGUAUCACGAGGUCAGGAGAUCGAGAUCAUCCUGGCUAACAGGUGAAACCCCGUCCCUACUAAAAAUACAAAAAAUUAGCUGGGCAUGGUGGCGGGCACCUGUAGUCCCAGCUACUCGGGAGGCUGAGGCAGGAGAAUGGCGUGAACUCAGGAGAAGGAGCUUGCAGUGAGCCGAGAUCACGCCACUGCACUCCAUCCUGAGCAACAGAGCGAGACUGCGUUUCAAAAAAAAAAAGAGGGUUACCAGUAAAAAAUAAGACAGACUGGGCGUAGUGGCUCACGCCUAUAAUCCCAACACUUUGGGAGGCCGAGGCGGGCGGAUCACCUGAGGUUGGGAGUUUGAGAUCAGCCUGACCAACAUGGAGAAACCCUGUUUCUACUAAAAAUACAAAAUUAGCCGGGCAUGGUGGUGCAUGCCUGUAAUCCCAGCUACUCAGGAGUCUGAGGCAGGAGAAUCGCUUGAACCUGGGAGGUGGAGAUUGCAGUGAGCCGAGGUCUAGUGCCAUUACACUCCAGCCUGGGCAACAAGAGUGAAACUCCGUCUCAGAAAAAAUAAAUAAAAAUAAAAAAUAAGAUACUUUGAUAAAAUAGAACAAUGAGAACCAGAACAGGCUCUUUGAAAUUACAAGUAAGAUUGUUCAAUGUUAUAGAUACAAUGUUUAGUGAGAAACAGAAUGCUUGUUGCCUGGUGCUGCAAAGAAAUAGCACUCAAAACAUAAAUUUAAUUCUCUCAGCAAGGCCGUUUUUACUUUCUGCAGAAAGGGUGCUCAUCACAGAUGGAACAAUGGCAAGAGCACACCUGAACAAAGGAGGGAAGCAAUUUUUAUUCCUUAGGCAGUUUGUCCCUGCUACUGUGUCCUGUCUCCGUUGGCUGGAGCCAGCCUGCACAAUCUAAACUAAAACUAGAUUAGCUAACAGUUUAAAACUUUUCUAAAUAGGUAAAAGUAGUGGAAAGACGAAGGAAAAGAGGAAGUUGCUUAUGCCAGAUAUGGAAGGAGCAUAGGCUGUAAGCUGGAACGUGACCAUGAGCAUGUCCAGCACAAAUAACUUGGUUAAGGUACAGGGACAUAGAACGUACUACGUGCCUGUGAGCAUGUUUACCAGCUACAUAGGAUAGGGCCUAACAAAGACUUACUAGCACAAAGCAAGGAGGUUUCAAGGAAGUUAGUUUAUAAAAGAAACUAUUAUUUUUUAACACUUAUGAUUUAUUCUUUAACAAGAAGGGAAACUUUGAAGAGGAACUUUUACUUUCCACAUUGAACAAAUAAGUAAGAAAAAGAAAGGGAAACUUCCCCAGGGCUGAAAGGAAAUUUUCAGGUCAUGCCAUUAUUAUCAGAAUUAAUAAGACCCAUGCAUCGUGGAAAACUGAGAACACCACGACUAAAAACAGAUGGCAGGCUGGGCGUGGUGGCUCACGCCUGUAAUCCCAGCUCUUUGGGAGGCUGAGGCAGGCAGAUCACCUGAAGUCAAGAGUUUGAGACCAGCCUGGCCGACAUUGUGAAACCUCAUCUCUAAUAAAAAUUCAAAAAUUAGCCAGGCAUGGUGGCAGCCGCCUAUAAUCCCAGCUAUUCAGGAGGCUGAGGCAGGAGAAUCGCUUGAACUCGAGAGGUAGAGGUUGCAGUGAGCUAAGAUUGUGCCACUGCACUCCAGCCUUGGGCGACAAAGCGAGACUCUGUCUCAAAAAAAAACAAACAAAAAAAAUGUCAGGGUCGGGCAUGGUGGCUCACACCUGUAAUCCCAGCUACUUGGGAGGCUGAGGUAGGAGAAUUGCUUGAACCCAGGAGGUGGAGGUUGCAGUGAGCUAAGAUUGUGCCACUGCACUCCAGCGUGGGCGACAAAGCGAGACUCUGUCUCAAAAAAAAAAAAAAAAAAAAAGAUGGCAGGGCUGGCAUGGUGGCUCACGCCUGUAAUCCCAGCACUUUGGGAGACCGAGGCAGGUGGAUCACUCUAGGUUAGGAGUUUGAGACCAGCCUGGCCAAGAUGGUGAAACCCUGUCUCUACUAAAGAUACAAAAAUUAGCCAAGUGUGGUGAUAAAUGCCUGCAAUCCCAGCUACUCAGGAGGCUGACGCAGGAGUAUCACUUGAACCUGGGAGGCAGAGGUUGCAAUGAGUCUAGAUCAUGCCACUGGACUCCAGCCUGGGCGACAGAAUGAGACUCUGUCUCAAAACAGAGCAAAUGGCAUGGCAGAACCUUCUCUAGAGAAAAUAGUUUUGAAUCUAAGAAAGGAAUAGCUUUAAUCUAGAAAAGGAAUAGGGCAAGAAAAGGAAUGUUUAUUCACCCAUAACUUAAAAAAAAAGGUAAUUUUAAUUGAAGGCUUCAAGGUAAAUUGUGCUCAAACUAUACAAAUUCUGCUAGAUGGUUAUAGUUCCUAUGUGAAGGUAACUUUAGAAAGUAGUGUUCACUUGACACUGAUGUGAGUAAUUCUUGCUGGAGGGGGCAAAAAGCUCAUGAAAUUUGAAUAAAGGAGGAGGAGAUGCAGUCAGAUUGUUGAUUGACCCUUCAGGGAAUGGCAUUUGCAUAGCUGUGACGUGAACCCUAGGUAUUGGCUUUUUUUUUCUUUUUUUUUGAGAAGGAGUCUCUGUUGCCCAGUCUGGAGUGCAGUGGCGCGAUCUUGGCUCACUGUAACCUCCGCCUCCCGGGUUCAAGCAAUUCUCCUGCCUCAGCCUCCUGAGUAGCUGGGAUUACAGGCACGUGCCACCACGCCCAGCUAAUUUUUGUAUUUUUAGUAGACACAGGGUUUCACCAUGUUGGUCAGGAUGGUCUCCAACUCCUCACCUUGUGAUCCGCCCACCUUGGCAUCCCAAAGUGCUGGGAUUACAGGGAUGAGCCAUUGCACCCGGCCUGUAUUGGCUUUUAAUUUUUAGGAAGUAACACAUGGCUGUGACCUGACAACUUCAUAGUGGCCGUAGGGUAGGGCACUGUUGUCAUUAUUCCUGUCACUGACAAUGUCAGCCCCACCUGCAGAUGUGGGAGAGUAGAUGGGGAAAGUAGUAGUGGAGAGUAGAGGUUUCCCUUACCAUCCUUUUAGGAAGUAGGCUUUUAAACAUGAUAUGUAAGUUUAUUUAGAAGAUGAAAAUUAAAGCUUGAAAUGUAAUAUGAGAGGAAUUGGCAGCGGAUGUGAGUCAGAUCCUCACCUGUCAGAGCAGGAAGUUAGUGAAAACUAAAGAUGAUUGGCUGGAUGCGGUGGCUUAUGCCUGUAAUCCCAGCACUUUGGGAGGCUGAGGUGGGUGGAUCACCUGAGGUCAGGAGUUUGAGACCAGCCUGGCCAACAUGGUGAAACUCUGUCUCUACUAAAAAUACAAAGAUUAGCCCAGCGUGGUGGUGGGCACCUGUAAUCCCAGCUACUCAGGAGGCUGAGGCAGGAGAAUCGUUUGAACCCAGGAAGUGGAGGUUGCAGUGAGCUGAGAUUGCAUCACUGUGCUCCAGCCUGGGCAACAGAGUCAGACUCCGUCUCCAGGAAAAAAAAAAAAAAAAAGACUAAAGAUGAUCAAAGAUUAGAAUUACGGAGGUGUCCUCAAGAAGAAUUGGAACAGAUAUGGUUAAAAGUGGCUGGAGGUGGGUGCAGUGGAUAUGGUGGUGCACACCUGUAAUCCCAGUGCUUUGGGAGGCUGAGGCAGGUGGAUCACUUGAGCCUAAGAGUUGGAGACCAGCCUGGGCAACAUGGCGAGACCUGGUCUCUACAAAAAAUACAAAAAUUAGCCGGGCAUAGUAGCACAUACCUGAAGUCCCAGCUACUCAGGAAGCUGAGUUGGGAGGAUUCUUUGACCCCAGGAGGUUGAGGCUGCAGUUAGCUGUUAUUAUAUCACUGCACUCCAGCCUAUGUGACAGUGUGAGACCCUAUCUCAAAAAAAAAGUGAUGUCGGGAGGCUGAGAGGAUGAGUGACUGGGGCAGGAGAUGAGUACUUUCCCUUUUAAGCCCAUAGCAUUUAAUUCCCUGGUGGUUCACUUCUUAUUUGGAUAACUAACAAAUUAUUUCAAAUGUGUGCCUAUAGGUGAGAGAAGCAAUGGUACAUGAGGAGGUAAGCAUUUGAUUUGUGGGAUUAUGAACAACUGUCCUACUCUCCUUUUGAUUCGGUGUCUCUGUAUUAGUGAUCUGACAAUUUAAAAAAUCAAGCAAGAGCAGGCUGGGCGCAGUGGCUCAUGCCUGUAAUCCCAGCACUUUGGGAGGCCGAGGCGGGCGGAUCACUUGAGGUCAGGAGUUGAAGACCAGCCUGGCCGACAUGGUGAAACCCUGUCCCCACUAAAAAUGCAAAAAUUAUCUGGGCGUGGUGGUGGGUGCCUGUAAUGCCAGCUACUUGGGAGGCUGAGCAGGAGAAUCGCUGGAACCCGGGAGUUGGAGAUUGCAAUGAGCCGAGAUUGCCCCACUACACUCUAGCCUGGGCAACAGAGUGAGACUCCUUGACAGGAAAAAAAAAAAAAAAAAGCAUAAAGAAAAGAUGUCAGACUUGUCUGUUUGGCCAGUUUGAGUUUAUUUCAGCAGGCAGGGCAGGAAGGUUCCUUGGCUUCCUAGAAUCCCCUGGAGUUGGAUGGGUGUGGUGGCUUACACCUGUAAUCCUAACAGACCAAGGCCCAGGUGGAAGGAUCAACUGAGGCCGUGAGUUUGAGAUUAGACUGGGCAACAUGGCAGGACUCUGUCUCUGCAAGAAAUAAAAAACCAGGUGUGGUGGCACGCGCCUGUUGUUCCAGCUACUCAGGAGGCUGAGGUGUGAGAUCACUUGAGCCUGAGAAGUUGAGGCUGCAGUGAGCUGAGAUUGCACCACUGCAUUCCAGCCUGGGCAACAGAGUGAGACCCUGUUUCUUUAAAAAUAAAAAUAAAAAUAAUCCCUUGGAUUUAAAGGGAGUGGGUUAGUCCUUGAAGAUUUGAUUUUCCAGAAUUCUUAUCAAGAAGAAGUUGAGGCGGGAGAAUCAUGAGGUCAGGAGUUCAAGACCAGCCUGGCCAACAUGGUGAAACCCCGUCUCUACUAAAAGACGUGGUGGUGCGUGCCUGUAAAUCCAGCUACUCAGGAGGCUGAGGCAGGAGAAUUGCUUGAACCGGGACCUGGGAGGCGGAGGUUGCAGUGAGCUGAGAUCGUGCCACUGCACUCCAGCCUGGGCUACAGAGCGAGUCUCCUUCUCAAAAAAAAAAAGAAAAGAAAAGAAAAAAAGGCCGGGCGCGGUGGCUCAUGCCUGUAAUCCCAGCACUUUGGGAGGCCGAGUUGGGCAGAUUGCAAGUUCAGGAAAUCGAGACCAUCCUGGCUAACAUGGUGAAACCCAUCUCUACUAAAAUUACAAAAAUUAGCCGGGUGUGGUGGCGCAUGCCUGUAAUCCCAGCUACUUGGGAGGCUGAGGCAGGAGAAUCGCUUGAACCCAGGAGGCGGAGGUUGCAGUAAGCCAAGAUCGCACCAUUGUACUCCAGCCUGGGCAACAAGAGCGAAACUCUGUCUCAAAAAAAAAAAGAAGAAAGAAACCAAAAAAGUAGAAAAUCAUAUUAUCAUAUACUUUAAUAGCACAACAAAAUUACAAAUUAAUAAUUGUGGGUAUUUUAGAAUAUAUAUGAAACAGCUAUUUGGUCAAAGAGGAAAUAAAAAUACUACAUCUGUUUAAGUAAAAAUAAGUACUCUGUAUCAAAUGAUCAACAUGAAUACAAAAUACCAAAGCUUGCCUAAAGCCUAGGCCGGGAACGAUGGCUCACGCCUGUAAUCCCAGCACUUUGGGAGGCCAAGGUGGGCGGAUCACCAGGUCAGGAGAUAGAGACCCGCCUGGCCAACAGGCCGAAACCCUGUCUCUACUAAAAAUACAAAAAAUUAGCCGGGCGUGGUGGCGGGUGUCUGUAAUCCCAGCUAUUUGGGAGGAUGAGGCAGGAGAAUCGCUUGAACCCGGGAGGUGGAGAUUGCAGUGGGCCGAGAUCGUGUCACUGCACUCCAGCCUGGGCGACAGAGUGAGACUCUGUCUCAAAAAAAAAAAAAAAAGCCUAUUCUGUAGACAAGUGUGUCUCACGUUUUUUGUCUCAAGACCCCUUCACACUCUUAAAAGUCACUGAAGACCCUAAACAGUUUUUGUUUUGUUUUGUUUUCCC